rnacentral:rRNA from 1 species
GAUGAACGCUGGCGGCGUGCCUAAUACAUGCAAGUCGAGCGAACAGACGAGGAGCUUGCUCCUCUGACGUUAGCGGCGGACGGGUGAGUAACACGUGGAUAACCUACCUAUAAGACUGGGAUAACUUCGGGAAACCGGAGCUAAUACCGGAUAAUAUAUUGAACCGCAUGGUUCAAUAGUGAAAGACGGUUUUGCUGUCACUUAUAGAUGGAUCCGCGCCGCAAUAGCUAGUUGGUAAGGUAACGGCUUACCAAGGCAACGAUGCGUAGCCGACCUGAGAGGGUGGUCGGCCACACUGGAACUGAGACACGGUCCAGACUCCUACGGGAGGCAGCAGUAGGGAAUCUUCCGCAAUGGGCGGAAGCCUGACGGAGCAACGCCGCGUGAGUGAUGAAGGUCUUCGGAUCGUAAAACUCUGUUAUUAGGGAAGAACAAAUGUGUAAGUAACUAUGCACGUCUUGACGGUACCUAAUCAGAAAGCCACGGCUAACUACGUG